AAACUCAGUGCUGAAAGGGAUUUCAGUCACCAUGUAGCCCAGUCAUGCACCUGAGAAUCUUAACAGAAGCACCUCUUUUUCAGACUUGCCCAAUAUUACGUGUGAAAACUAAGGACUUGUCGAAAGACACAGAAUUAUUGGUGAUAAUCAAGACUAAAAUCUAAGGAGUCUGGAAUAACACUUGGAAUUAUUAGAGCAGACACCUGGCACAAUGGUCAGGCAAUACAGCAUUACCUUAUAAUCAGCCCAUCAUGGAGAUGAAAAUAACGCCAUGCCACAGUGUGACAAUUGUAAGACUGCAAGAAGCAAGACAAUACCCAGCCUGUGAUGACAACACACAUUCUGCCAACACUACAGAAAAUGAGUCCGCAAAUUGCCUACUGCAAACUUUUCCACAUGAGUCUGUUCCCAAAUACUCGCCUCAAUUCUGAGAGAAUGCCUCUAGGAAGAUGAAGAGGGAGAGCUCUGAGAAGCAUUGUGGUAUGUAGCUUUCUGCUACAGAUCGAUCUUAAAAUUAUACUGCUGCUGUCCCUUAGGAUAAUCAGGAAAACAGAGGGCUCAGAAGUCAUGACAGCUGUCUUUCAUUGACUGCUAGAGGAUUUACAGGCAAUCUUAACCAUCUUGCAACGUAGGAAUUACUGUUUUUUCCUUCCUGUCAGAUAAGGAAACUGAAGAUUCAAGACGUUAGCCAAUUUGUUCUUUGCGAUUUGUCUAGUAAGUGGAAAAGCGAGAAUUCUAAUCCAUAUCUGAAUGACUAUAAAGCCACAGUGAUGCCUAGAUGCCACACUGCUUUCAGGAUUAAAAACUAUUAAUUAUGAAUAACUUAAAUACUAAAUGUGUAUGUUUGUAAAAGUUAAACCUCAAAAAAACAGGAUACAUUGCACAUCAUUAGCAAUAGUCUCUUGUGUCUUUAAAACAUUUGAGAGUUUGGCUGUUUUGAUCACGAUAUUAAUUGCGCGUAUUUAUUGAGGGCCUCCUCUGUCCCAGGUGCAGCGCUUCUUUAAAAACCUGAGAGGGACUUUAGGGUUAUCUUCAUCCUACAGAAGAGAUAGCUGAGGUUGAAGAGGUUAAUUAGCUCAACCAACUAUAAAGCGGCAGAGGAUGGGGCGUUAACUCCCACCUAAAACCAUGCUCAUAACCAUCAUGUUAACUGGCUUUCCAUGCAUGAACUGUGAUCAUGCAGCUUUCCACCUGCUCCUUGAAUUGGAGCAGAUGUUAUCUGUAGAUUUUGGCAGAGUCAACACUGAUGGUUCUGACUUCUCGUUACAAUACCAAGAACUAAUUAUACAUCUUCCGUAGAGCCACUGCAGUGGCAUGGACAAGUUGAAGGCAGUGCAAUUCUGGACAAUUUACCACAAUAAUGGAGUAUCUACUGGGCGUGAUGCCUUACACAAGGAGCAAUCCAUUGGCAAAGAGAAAAGAUGUGAGAAUGAUGGACUCUAUUCCUAAGCAGUUUAAUGAGAACACAUUUUAAGUGUGAAAGACCUGGUAAAUAAUUAAAUAGCAAGAAUUUAAUUUCAAAGGAGUUGUAAGUACUGGUUCACUGUGUAAAGGUCUACUGAGUGCAAAGAAAACUACUCGAGGAGCUGGCAUGUGAAUUUUGAUAAAGUGUCUGAAAAUUCUGAGAUACAGAUUAUUAGAGAUGGAAGAAAAGUUGGAGAGGAAGCCAAGUGUAAAUAAGAGCACAGAUGCAGGAUGUAGCAACUUGGUUGGCAAGCGAUGGGCAUGACUAGAACCGGAAUCUGUGACAGAGCCAGUGGCGGGGAGAGCAGGUUUUGGACCAGCUGGCAUGACCUCAGCAUGUUCAGACAAACUCUGUUCUUUCAGUGACCCCAGGCUUGUUCAGGCCAUCUUGUUUGUCACUAUCUGUCUUUGUAUCAUUCCUCAGACUUUCUGUAUGUCUUAAGCAUGAAACAAUUUCCUUCUCUAGUCUCAUAGAACUGACUUAUACAUAAUCUACAGCCUUCAUUGCCAGCCACUAACUAUCUCCCAGGUAUGCCUUCACAGGUUCAAAGGAGCCUAUGCAUAAAAAAUUUGCUACAUUUUCCCACUGAUGGAAAUAUCACAUCAUAUCAGCCAGACACUGUGCAUCGGCACUUAAGCAAUCAACAAGCUUUUACUGAAUUCCUUGAUGUGCAGGGUAUGGGUCAAGGCCCUAUUCCUAGAAAUCAGGUGUUUCAUAAAAAGCAUGCACAAUGAUUCAGAAAUUCCUUUUUCUUUGACAUGAAAAGAGCUGAGUGAAAUCUUUAGGCUUUGUUAAAAAUGAUAGAACUUGGAACUUUUCAGACAGUGAAUAUGGGUGUUAAGUGGGUUUUCAAUGGUAUUUGACUCAUCAAAUUUAUCUUGCAUUAUUAUUUUUGUCUUUAAAAGUAGAAUAUUUGGAAUGGGGGAACACUGCCUUUAUUUUUAAGAAUUUUUUCAGUUUCCUGAAAAUAGAAAUAAUGAAGGAGAGAAAAGAACAAAUGGUAAAGCUUUGGAUAAGUCAAGGCAUGGCUACUUUCUAAUGUCAAAACAGCUGAGUAUAUUUCCUGUUAUGAUGUGCAGGGGGACAAUCAGCCUAGCAAGCAUGUGUAAAAUUUUCAGAUUCAAAUCCAGCUGUACAAACUGCUAUUGUAACAAGUAGUUCACCCUUAAACUACCCCCGCCAUCUCGAUCACUGACCCCCAUCAAUUUGUGCCAUGAUUAAGAGCAAGCUUCUGCCUGGGUUCAAAUCCCAGCUCUGCUAUUCACUAAGAUAUCUCAUAGGGUUGUUACGAGGAUUGAAUAAAUCAAUAUGCAUAAAAGCUGCACAAUGUAAACGACUAAUGUUAACUGAUAGCACUCAUAAAAUAAAAAUAAAGGAAAAUGAACUUGUUACUCAGUUCUGUGACUAUAAUAACACUAACAUUUUCUUCAUAAUACUGAUACUAUUUGAGAUGAAAGUUACAAUCUGUCAAGCAUUGUGCCUAUUUUACAACUCAUUUAAUCCUCACAAGGAAGCCUUCCAUGAAGUGGUGUCAUUACUGUUUCCCUGAUUUUACAGUUGGGGAGUCAAGUGAUUUGCCUAGGAUCACACAGGUGGAACUUGGUAGAGCAGAAUUUGACACCGAGACAGUAAGAUUUCAGAACUUACUUUUAGUCACUCUGCUACACUGUCUCCGCAUAAUUGUUCCUAGUUGUGAAGCCAGUUCCUAAAAUCCCAUUAGUUUCUAUCUUCUCUAGAAACAAAUUGGAAUUUUCUCCUUCCUUCUGUCUUCUCCAGAUAGCCUCAGAACCCAGGACAACUAACUUCCUCUGUAACGGUGAUGAAACUGGACAGCUGCUUCCUGGGGCUAAGGUGAAGAUGCAGACAGUAUGCAGCCCCUUCCAACCACUGGAGAGGAGUUCUACCAUAGGACCAAAAGACCCCUCAGCCUUCUGUUCCAUGGAUGGCUUCUCAAUGAUAUGUUUGCACAUUCUUUUCCUGCUUGGUAAUUAGCACCAGCUGUCUCAACUUAAAAGGAAGGAAUCCCUUUGAAAUCCUCCCUAUCCUCCGUGAAAUGUGCUACUGAAACGUGCUAAUUAGUAACUGGACUUAGGACAACACAGACAUGUGUUUCCUUGGUCUAAUCCAGAACUGAGAUAAUCAACACAAGACUCUCCAAGGAAAAUUGCCUGAGAAUUCUGGGGUCUGGAAAGCAGCACCUGCAUGUACUCGGCCAUAAAUUCUAAAAGGCAACAGUAAGAAGACAUUUAAGGCCAGGCCUAGAGUGGCGCAAUGUGAGUGUGAAUUUUUAUUACUAAGCUGAUUUUACAGGAAUGACAGAAGGAGUGGUGGUAGCUUAAAAAAAAAGUCCCCCUUUAAAUUUCUUACUUCUUCUGAAAUAUUGGAGUUUGUAGUAGGUUGAAACAAAUGUUCUCUCUCUCUGAGGGUUUCACCUCAGUGACAUUAUUGACAUCUUGGUCGAUAAUUCUUUGUUGGGAAGGGGCCCUCUGCAUUGUAAGAUGUUUGCCACAUCCCUGAUUUCUUACCUACUAGAUACUAGUAGCAUCCCAGCUGUGAUAACUAAAAUCAUCCUCAGCAUUGCCAAAUGUCUCUUGGGGGAAAAAUUUCCCCUGAUUGAGAAUCAUCUUAUCAAUUCUUGUUAGAUAAGUUGGAAAUAAUUUGCCAAUCAAAAUACAUAUUUCAUUAAAUACUUAGCACGACUCAGGCCAUGUACCUGUAUUACUUAAUUUAGUCCUUAUUAGAAUCCUUAGAAAUCAGUCCUGUUAUUGUCUCCAUUUUACAGAUGAGGAAAGUAAGACUCUGAGGAGCUGAGUAACUUUCAUGACGUCACAUAGGCAAGUUGGUAAAGCCAACAUUAAAAUCCAGGUCCUCUGGCUCUGGAAUCUGCAUUUGUAAACAUUCUACUAUAAAAUCAUAACUCCUUAUUAAGCCCCCAGUAGAGUGAAAAACAGAAACACUGAUUUAUUAAGUAAUAAUAAUGCAUAGCUGCCAAUUUAAGAUAAUUUCCUGAAAUCGACAAAACAGAAAGUAAAGAUAGUCAUCCUCUAACAUUGUCAGAGGAAGAUUUAUUUUUUCAUUUAUUUAUCAGAUACCCACUCUCCAUACAGAUGCAGAAAUGUGCAAAACAAAGCCCCUGCCCUCUGAACUUACAUUGUUGCAAGCAAUUAGCAAGUGAACAAAGGCAUAUAUAAUAUUUCAUAUAGUAAUAUGCUAUGGAGAGAACAAAACACAUUAAAGGGGAUAGAGAGGGUCUGGGAUGGGGUGGGGUACUUCUAUUUUAUAUAGGGUGGUGGGGAAGUAGUCCAAGUAGUGAGAACAGCCAGUACAAAGGCCCUGAGGUAGAAGCAUAUUGGAAGUGGCAGUGGCUUGCUUGUAUAGCAAGGGGAAAGCAAGGAGCCAGUGGAACUGGAGCAGAGUGAGGGAGGGGAGCAGUAGGAGAUGAGAUUGAGAGGUGGUAGUAGGUGGAGGGGGGAGGACCAAAGAUGCCCUGAGGUUCAUCUGGUAGGGUGAAAGGACUUCUUGACUUUUACUCUGAGAUGAAUAUUUAUUGAGCAGAGAACUGCCAUGACCUGAUAAUUUUUCAAAGAACCAUCUACUUCCCCUGAUUUGGGAAGUAAUUUAUCCUAAUGAUUAAGACUGUAAGUUCCAGAAUCAGACCCACCUCAUUCUAAAGGAUAUCUUUAUGAGCUUGCCUCCUGUGGGCUUUGGGGCAAGUAAUUUAAUUUAUCUGAGCCUCUCAAUUCUUAUCUGUAGAAAAGAUGUUAAUUGAAUAGUUAAUUGAAUCUAAGUGCCAUAGACAAAAGACAUACCAUGAUUUUCUGUACCAAUUAGAAAAUUAGAAAACAAUACUGCUAAUCAUGUAUGAGUUAGUCAAACUAGGCUCUCCAAGUGUGGAAUUGUCCUUAAGCUAUUCUUGAGGAUUUGGUCAUUUGUCCUGCCUUCAUUUGCAUUGCUUGGCAUAUAAUAGAAAAUUAUUUUGCAUAAAUCUCAGUAAGAAAAAUCACAGCUUCAUCUAUUCGUUGGUAGCUUCAUUUCUUAGGGUCCCAUAAAACAUUUGAUUGUUGCUUUGAAAGGCAGCUAUGCUCACCACUACACCACCAAUGCUGGUUGUUGCUUUGUAAGAAAAUAUAGACUCAGAGUCUUUAUUUCCUAUGAUGAAUACUUGCUUUACAAACACCAAAUUUAAUCUAAUUUCUUACUCAGUUUUUAUGCUGGUUCUGCUUGUAAAAAUAAUCCUUAGUUUAAAUACUGGAUCAUAGUGUAAAAGAUUUUUAAACAGCAAUUAAACCCAACAUAUGCAGUGCCAAUAAUGUGCAUAAGUCAAACUGAAGUGACAGUAUUAUGAGUUUACACAUUCACAGACAAUGAUAGAAUUACAUCAUGUCUGCCCUCUGGUCUAUGGUGAUUGUAAGGUGACAUCAAUUCUGUGCUAAAAUGUUCCAUAUAUAUGUGUUUAUCUACCUACCUAUCAAUCUAUCUAUGUGAUAUUAUGGCACA